rnacentral:tRNA from 1 species
GUCAGUGUGGUUGAGAGGUCCAAGGCGCCAGACUCAAGUGAAAGUGCCUUUUGGGAAUUCUGGUCCUCUAAUGAGGGCGUGGCUUCGAAUCCCACUGCUGAUA